UGCGAUGAUGAUGAGAAAUAUAUAAUCUCGUUAAUCUGAUAUUGAUAUGAGGAGAAACUAUCUCAUCCAUUCAUAAUCUUUCUGAGC
rnacentral:snoRNA from 3 species